rnacentral:misc_RNA from 1 species
GUAUUGUAUUGCGUUAAACGCGGCAUACAUUCCAUGAGACUUUAUAUAGAGUGUGUGUGUAAAGACAUAGAACCAUAGCAGGAGGCCAGAGCCCCCCAGGCCACAGAACUACGGAGGGUGCACAGGUGUGAGUGGAUGUGUGAACAGAGCGUGCACAUGCCCCCGUUUGAGGGCCAGCAACAACUCGUGUUGACAAUUCGGUAAUGAUCCUUCCGCAGGUUCACCUACGGAAA